AGCCCCGUGGUGUAAAAAGCUCAUUGGAUUGCAAACCCAAAGGCGUAGGUUUAUAACCUGCCGGGGCUU
rnacentral:tRNA from 1 species